UACAGAGGGUGCAAGCGUUAAUCGGAUUUACUGGGCGUAAAGCGUGCGUAGGCGGUUCAUUAAGUCGGUUGUGAAAUCCCCGGGCUUAACCUGGGAAUGGCAUUUGGGACUGCAAGGCUUGAGUGCGGCAGAGGAGACUGGAAUUCCUGGUGUAGCAGUGAAAUGCGUAGAUAUCAGGAGGAACACCGAUGGCGAAGGCAGGUCUCUGGGCUGACACUGACGCUCAUGCACGAAAGCGUGGGGAGCAAACAGG
rnacentral:rRNA from 1 species